rnacentral:lncRNA from 1 species
GUUCCUACGGAUGUGGACCUUGAGCAUCAGCUGGGCAGAAUGAAGUGAGACAGAAGCUGUCUCCUCGCUGAGUCUGGCAGCCAAAGAGGCUCAGGGGCCCGGAGUGCUUCCGUGAAAGCCUGUUGGAAGUUUUCAGAACUGCAGCCCACGGCCUAGCGACUGCAGCUCUGAAGGACCCAGGAUGAACCUCAUGGGAAACCUCUUGGACCUCACCUUGCAGAUUCUACCAACUUUGCUACUAGGCUGUAACCUUGAUGAAUGGAAAAGGUUUGACCCUGACAAUUUAAAAAAGGAACAGCUUUAUCUACUAUUGCAACAUGACUUGUGUUCAGUAUGAACUGGGAAAUGGUGAAGGAUGGGUAUGGGGUGGCACUUUAAGUUAUGAGACUAGUCUUUAGUUAUAGUGUUUCUGCUUGAAACAUAAGAGGUGGAAUGAAAAUCCCCUUUGUUCAAGCCUUUGUGACCUUUUGUCACAAGGAAGACCUAGAAACUAUGGUUCUCAGUGUUGGUCUCAGCUGCUGACAUAUUGAACAUUCAGCAGUGGCUGUAACCAGAUCACCCUUUGUGGGUGGAAGUCCAUGUUGCUGAGUUCCUAUGUAACCUUCAUCCGUGCCACCAUGGCCACUUUGUUCAUGAGCCCAUUGAGCAGUGAUGGGGCUGGCUGAAGAAAAAGAUUGACUGUUAUCCACAGAACGGGUCAUCCUAUCCACUGGAUUAUUUAAGUCUUCUUCUGCUGAGAUCACCUUUGGUGAGCAUUUAUGUGGAACACAAAUAUCUUUAUGUUCUUUGUCUAAAUGGAGAGGUCUAGUCAUAUACCUCAUUCCCAAAUAUCUUUGUCACCAGUUUUCUAGUCACGUUCCUUCCAAGUCCCUGACCAUCUGGCCAGACCAUUGGCUACAGCCCAUGAAUCAGUAUAUAGUUGCACAUCUGAUCAUUCUUUUCUUCCUAGAAAAAUGUGCAAUCAGGGGCACUGUCUUAAUCUGUGCCCAGUGUGAAGAUUUCUCUUCACUACUGUUCUUCAGGGAAGUCCUGGAAAUGUGAUAGCUGUCCACUUUCAAGUGGUAGCUUCAUAACAUGCAGAGCCAUUUGUAAACCAGGACCUAGUCUUCUCUUCCUGUGCCAAUUGAUCAUGUGAUAUUCCCCAUGAGGCCGUAGGUAUAUGCUGGACAACAAAAGGCAGUAUAGCAGGAGUAGGAACCAUGGGUUUUUGGGCAACUUCUUCAUGUAAGUUACUUGUACUUUUCAAAACUGUUCAGGGUUGAUUGUGUAUUUACUACUUCCAUUUCAUGGUGGACUGUUGCUGUGCAUGUUUAAGUUUAUGACUUGGAGGGUCAGAUAGUACUAUUUCAUGAUGGGCAGCUCAAGUUGCAUGGUAACCUGGUGUCCUAUGGUCAAGCUUUCAGUUUCCACUAAGGCCUAGUACCAGGCGAGGAGCUGGUUUUCAGCAAGAGUACUUGUCUGCAGAUAAUUGCAGAGCCAUGCUCCAAAAUCCUGAAGUUUGCCACUGUGAUUCACCUAUGGGAGCCUUCCAGAGGCUCCAAAUAGCAUCACUGUUUGCCACCAACAUGUUAAGUACCAUUGGAUUAUGAGUCAGUCAGUAAAUGGGCCAGAAUAACACAGAUGAUUAGCAGAAUUAAAGGGUGUAACACACAGAAAAAGUCCCUUGAAUUUUAACAGUCAAGAAGAGUAUCUCUAGACAUUGAGAAAAACCAUACAGGGAGAAAUGUUAGGGAAAAGAAGGACACAUUUAUUAAAUAUCAACUCAAUGGAGCACUUGGCUCGUUUGUUUGUUUUAAGGUCUUGCCAUUGUUUAAAUGGCUAGCUCUACCCUCUCUCUUUUUUUUUUUUGAGAUUGUUUUGUAUUCUGCAACAUCUAUUCUUCUUUUUUUUUCUUUAUUAAAUUCUUUUAUUGGUACACUGUAGGUAUACAACACAAUUACAUUUCUCAUUGGGAAUUGUACCUUUACAUAAUGCAUCUUGGUUCUUAUUUUUCCCCAUUGCUAGCCCUCCCUUCACCCCCUCCUCCCUUCCCUAUUUACAAAGACUUUAGUUCCAUUUUUUCCAUUUCUCAGCAUUUUUCCUUUCCCUUCUUUCCUUUCCCCUGCCCCUCCCACUACCCCUACCCCUUUGGACCUUUGCUUCCUAUUUUGCAUUAUUGAUUAUUCAUUCUAAUCAUUGGUACAUUUUAGGUAUACAAUAGAAUGACAUUCAUCAUUGGAAGUUUGCACCUUUCCAUUGAAAGUCUACCCUCUCUCUUAAGACUUAAGAUUGCAUGUCACUAAGGGGAACAAUUCACAUCUUUGUAAGGAGCAUGGAAAACUCGGUCCUGGGGAUAUACCCACCUUUUCUGGAAUUUUGCAGAGCACUUUCCAUCACUUGUGAUGACCCACUGCUUCUUGCGCCUACAUUCUUACCCAUGUGAAUUCCAUUCUCACCUACUCAAGUCCCAUUUGUCUCUGCCCUCUGACUUUUUUUUGGGGGGGGGGUACCAGGGAUCCAACUCAGGCCCUUGCACUUGUGAGGCAGGUGGUGGCACCACGGAGCCAAAUCCCUGGCCCUGCCCUCUGGCUUCUGAUAAGAGAGCUCCCUGUCUACCGUUUUAUUCAUUUGGAACAGAGUUCUUUGGCUUUACUCACCUUUCCUUUUGCUGCAAGCUUAGCCCCAUGGCUAACAGGCCCCUUCCUGUUUCUGUCUGAAAUAGGGAGCAGUCAGGGCUCUCACCAGGGGAGACCACUCAGAUAUAGCCUUAUAGACACAACUGUGUUGAACCUUCAGAGUUUUGGGUAGUGUGCUCUAGAUAGAAGUUAAGUACCAUUCAAAUGAAAAAAGUGAACUGUUGGGGUUGACAUGUAAUUUUGUGGAUCAAGUCAUGCUGAACCUCCUUCAUUUGUUCCCUCUCUGGAUGCACUCAGGCAGAUCUCACCAGAUAAAGGAGGAGACCAAGUCAGACAACAAGGAAAUUAUCCACAUCAAACCCUCUGUUGCGAGUUCAAAAUGGUUGGAUGCAGUGCUUUUCUUAUAGCAGAAGUACUAUGGGGGAGGGGAGUUGCAUGCCUGCAUUGGUGAGCUAUUAUCAAAAUAAUGCUAUGUAACACGUCGUUCCACAAUUCAGUGAAUUAAAACAAUAAUCUUUUAUCCUGCAUUCAUGGUCCUUUGGGUCACUGACAACUUAGUUGGGCUAGCAUGCUGUUCUAGCCACUACGCUACAGACAGGAUUCAAGUCAGCUCCAAAUAUUUUAUUCUGUGGCUCAUGUCAAAAUGCCAGCAGCUACCUGGAGUAUAUUCUUCUUAUGGUGAGUUAUCAGAACACAAAAGAGCAGCCUAGCCUUACAAGCAUAUUUCAAGCCUUUGUUCAUGUUGUAUAGUACAGCCUAAAGUCAGGAGGUAGAUAUAAUCUACUUUCUAUGAAGCUAUAGUAAGAUGGUAGAUACUUCUACUAAAAGAGAAUGACAAAUUUGGACUAAUAUUUCAAAGUAAUUUGUACCCUAUAAUAAUGUUGACAUAUAUUUCUUCCAGUAAAUUUUUGUUUCUGCUUGGGUUUCUCAAGUAGUCAAAGUAAUGUCUGUAUCACUGGGACCAGAGAAAAUGGGAAGAAUGUUCAAGAAAGGAAGAGCUAGACCAGCGCAUGUUCCAUGAUUCUAAGCCUUUCUAAUUCUCGUAGAGAUGUUGCUAUGUGUGUUCAUGCAUUUUGUAAAGAAAUGCAAAGAAGGACAUGAAAGUUGCAAAAGUGCUUUAGCUUCUAAAAAGAAAGAUCCUCUAAAUCUGAAAGAUAGACCAAUGCUUAAAGCCUUAAAAGCAGUAAAAGGUAUGCAAAUGCUGUUUUUAAUUUUUUUGGCUAAGCAGUGUUUUUAAAAGGAAAAGUAGGUAUCAUUAGCUAAGAUGUUACAAAACUAUCAACUAGAAAUUUUAUUUACAGCUGUCAAGUCCCUUGACUAAUUUACAGAGGUGAAUGGGAGAAGAAAUUGCUGGCUGUACCAAUAUUUUUGGCAAAUUUUGACUUACCCUUUAGUAGCCACUGAUUAACAAAGUUAGCACUAUUAAAGGGUACUAGAAAGGGGAGGGUGGAAAAAGAUUGGUUAACAGGUACAAAGACACAGCUAAAUAGGAGGAAUAAGUUCUGGUGUAUUACUACAUGAAAAAUUAACUAAAGUUAACAAUAUGGAAUCAUAUAUAUCAUAAUGGCUAAAAGAGGAUUUUGAGUAUUCUUAUCAAAAGAAAAGAUAAAUGUUUGAAAUGGUGGGUCACUUAAAUAUUUUAAGUUGAUCACAAUAUUCACAUGUACUGAAAUAUUACAGUGUACCUCAAAAAUACUGUUUGUACAAUUAUUGCCCAUCAAUUACAAUUAACUAAUUAAUUAAAAACCCUAUGACUAUCCCCUAUUAUUGGAGGAAAAUAAAAGAAAAACAAGGAAGCCUGAGAAUGUUAGUGAUGCUAGAAAAUAAGUCUUUCUUUCUUUCUUUCAUUUGUUUGUUUGUUUUCAGGUGUUUUAUAGCAACUACAUGUGGCCCAGAACUUUGGGAUAUUCCUGUCCUGUCUGCAUUCCAGCCGUGUCAAGAUCUUGCUUCUGUUUUUCAUGAAAAGAGCUCUGUGCUGUUUACAUGAGCUGCAGCUUGACCCGCAGCUGUACAACUUUCUUCUUCUAUUGUCUCAGGUCAAGAUGAAUUACAGACAGAGCCUUGACCAUAAAUAUUUAAUGAUUUUUAUCUUCAAAGCAUUGUGCAAGCACACUUAGUCUUAUUUUGAAGUGCUGAGUAGGCAUCUCCGAUCUUCUUUUAUGACAUAGUUUCUUUUUUAAAUGCUAGUCGCACCCUUUAUUCUGAAUCCUUAAUACAAGGCUGAGUUGUCUUUUUAUAAUAGCUUUAUUAAGAUAUAACUCAUAUAAUCAUAAAAUUUACCCUUUUAAAAUGUAGUGCUCAGUGGUUUUUAGUAUUUUUGGAGUUGUGCAACCAUUGCCACUCUCUGAUCUUAGAAUACUGUCUUCAUCACUCUGAAACGAAAUUGAUUUUCAGUAACUCUCCAUUCUGCCUCCCUCACCCUAUCUGACCUAAAGUACCUGUGGCAGACACUAAUCUAUUUUCUGUCUUUAUACCUAUUCUGAACAGUCUCACAUGUUUCUACUUGCCUUCUUUCUCUGCUACCUGCCUCCAUGAGAAGAGCAUCCCAGGGAUUGUCCACUUAUCCCAGAAGGUGAAUGAAAGACACUUGGAAAUGGAACAGAACUUUUCACCUCAGACAAGAGCAACUGCUUCGCAAAUUACUCAGAGUAGCUUGAACUAAAUAAAUCCUUGCUGUUACAUUCCACUGAGCUCUUGUGACCAUUUGUUAUGCAGUGAUAGCUUACUAAUACAAUGGCCAUUGUUAGCAACUCAGUUUUCCAUCUUAUGUUUUCACCAUCCAAGAGAGAUGGGGACAACUAGUGUCUGGUUCCAGCUAAGGGCUCUGAUUGACCCAUCCCUAAUUAUAAGUUAACAGGUUAGCCUGGCAUAGUUUCAUGGAAGUAAGCCAACAAAAUGUGGCCAUGAAGUGACAUGGAAGUGAAGACAUUAUUGUCACUGUUAUGUGAAGGAGUGGGGACAAUUGCUGAGAAAGGAAGGGGUGCUGGACACAUAGAACAUGCAGUCAUGACCUAGGAGGGACAAUGAGGUGCUACCCAAGCAGAGUGCAACUAUGUUCUUGGCACGUUUUACUUAUGUCUGUUCAGUCAUCAGGGAGAGAGCGAGCGAGCGAGAGAGAGAGAGAGAGAGAGGACCGAAUAAUGGUAAUUUUUCCUGGGAUGAAAGUGAAGUGUGUGUGUGUGUGUGUGUGUGUGUGUGUGGCUAUUGGAGAUAAGAAUCUCUGGUUAAAGGGUGGGCAUGGUGGCUCACACGAAUGAUCCCAGCACUGGGGAGGCUGAGGCAGGAGGAUCGCUGCGAGUUUGAGGCCAGCCUGGGCUACACAGUGAGUUCUAGGCCAGCCUGGACUACAUAGUGUGACCCUGUCUCAAAAAACCAAAACCAAAACAAACGAACAACAACAAAUAUCUGCUGUUAACUCGGCCUAAAUUCCAAGUCAUCACUCAAAAGGUUUAAGUCAUUUGCUAUACUGAAUGUGAUUCUAUGUAUUUUUGAACAGCUGUUUAUUUUAAACUAUAUAUAAUAGUAUACAUUGUAUAAUUACUCAUACUUCUUCCUGUAUAAUAUUGCAUUACAAAACCAUAUGUACUAUACUUAAUGGGAAGUUUAAGGAAUUUUCAAGUGCAACUGUCCAUUUCCAUACCUGCAUUAAGAAGCUUUUUCUCAGAAAUUACAUGUGUCUCAGAAGGGUGGAAGACAGGACCUGAGUGAGCAAAUAUUGCUUUUUAUCAUUUGGUGAAACAAAGGCUUAAAGUAGAAAUUAAGUAGAGUUUUGGAAAAAUAUUUUUUAAAUUCAAAUGAGUUUGUGAGUUGAGAUUCACACUACAACUCUACCCUUGUUAGUCUCACAUGUUAUUAUAGAAAAUGCAGUUGAGGUAGAAAGGAAUAUUAGAUGGUAGUGACAAAGAAUGAAUUAGUGCUACACGGAACAGCAGAUGAAUCUUACAAAUAUAAUGUUGAAUGAAAAAGAUUCAUAAGAGCGUUUAGUAUAUGAUCCUGUUUAUAUUAGGUUUCACACCAGGAAAAACUAAUCAAUAAUGUUAGAAAUGUUAGAAUGAGAUAAGGAAACAGAACUUGGGCACUGGCAGGAUACCUGAGACAGUUUUGCAUCCUGGAUUCUCUUCCAGCUGAUUGAGGUCCAUGGGAGACAAGGAUGGAGGUGUCAAAUCAUCCAGAGCAGAACCUGUGUGCCAGUCCCUGGAGACGGUCUAGAAAUUCAGGGGCACUUGGGGACUUGCACACAUCAGAAGAAAUAUCUGAGUAGGUGAGUGUGAGGUAUUGCCACUAAACCCUCUGUGCUGUUCACAGCUGGGUAGGAGCAUCAGAGUAUUCUGGCACAGGUAGCGGUGGCAUGGAUAUGGUCCAGAAGGUUGGCAGCCUUGAAAUGUUUUUGUUUUCUGGGCAAGGAUGGCCCAGCACUGCCCUGCUAGACUCAGUCAUAUUGUGCAGAUGGUGGAUCAGUUGGCCCUGACAAGAUGGCACUUUUAGCCAUCACAGAAUUUUCUGGAGAAGCCAGCUCUUCAUCCUUUCUUUUAGACUUUAAAAUCUUCAUAAAAAUGCUAUGGACCUACAGAGAGUAGUAUAUUUGAGCUCAGGAUUCUAGCAGAAUCAUGGACUUGAAAACAGUCAUGAUUUCUUGCCAUGGAUUACUUCUGCUUCUCCCUGUGUCCUUUCUCUUUGGUAAUGACUGGUUUUUCUCUCCUUCUUAGUCUACAUAGAGGAACAUGCUACCAGCUGGACCAAAGUUUUAAAUGUGAAAAUGCAAAUCCAGGAAAAGAGAUCUAUCCCUCUUCCGAAGCCCAAAGUGAACAUUUUCAAGGGGAUAAGAUUGAUUAGCCUACACUGGGAUGGUGCUCUCUGAAUCGAUAGCUUGUAGCUAGAAGAACAGGAUAAUACUGUACAAACUAUGUGGCUUGAUUUUUUUGACAAGGGGAAGGCAAGAUCUACAAAAGUAGGACAAGUGGUGGGACCAACAAUGUGAGUUCAGGGUGGUCAGUCCUCUUUGGCUUCUUUUCAUGGCUGCUGAGAAAGAAGAUGGAACAGGUUCCCUGAGCCCUCAUCCAAGGAAGUAAGAAUUGAUUACUAGCUUAGCCAUUACUUUACCUUGCUUGCAGACAUGUCCUCCUUUGAACUCUCUUUGUUUUUCUUUAUCUAUCUCCAGCCUGUAGACAAAGAAGCUCUGCUGAGGCUCCCAAGUGAAAGGUGCUGUCCCAUUUUACAAAAGCCUUAGGACCAGUCCUCAGAACACUUUGGUCCUUUGCCAUCCGAGAGCAAGUACACGGAGGUGUCUUGAGGCGUUAAGCGCCAGCUUGCAGAGAUAGUGAGGUAUAUUUUAGAACCCAAACUGCUGUCAGGGAACAUAUGGAUUUUGUUAUUUCCAUCCUAGCAGCUUUCUCUCCAUGGGUUUUGACAUAUGAAUUUCAAAAGGAGGGAGUGUUUUCCUGAUUGACACCUCAGAAAUACUCUUUGUGGCAAAAUCACAAAUAUUUCCAGAUCUUGCUGGGCAUGGAGAUGGCUGAGCUGCUGGAGACAUUCUAUCAGUGUCACUUGACACAGCGUGUGAGGUCAGGCAGGGGUGAACACUGUUGGCUGGACACAAAGGUUGAGCAUUAUCUGCUCUGUGGGGGGACACAUCACACUCAGCCAGCUCAGGAGGGAGACUGACACAUGUGGGUCAUUGCACGGAGUCUUUUCUCCCUGGCAGAGCAAAGCAGGCCUGACAUUCCCGGAAGAAAAUGACACUGAAAGCAGUCAGACAAAGGCCAGGCAAGCAUUACCAAGGCUUUCUGGAAAAAGCUUUCUUCGUGGACUCACGCCAAUCAUUACUUUACUUACCUUAACUAAUUCAUUUCUUGUUUUUGUUCCUUAAUAAAAGAAAGGCAACUGUCAUUUAUUGAAUUUUUUGUGGGCUAGGAUUGGUAGUGUGCAAGAAAUGGCUUGGCCAAGCUCAGGAGAACCAACUGAACAAUUUCCAGGAAUCCUGCAAGAUAACUGUUAAACACAAGCCAUUAUUAAAAAUUAAAUUAUACUAACAUAUAAUUAAACUGUGUUAGAACAGAGGUAAUAAAUACUCAAAACUCAUCACAUUCUAAUUAUUUUACUACAUUGUACUGUUGUGCUCAUGAACUUAUUUGUAUCUACUGCAUCUGUAUGUUGGAAAUACUGUAAAAUAACUUGCUACUGUGCAUCUCUGUGAAAAUUGGCCGUAGUGGGAGGAACUAGCAAAUGUUACAAAUCUGGGCCGGUUUUAAAAAUUGUUUUCAUCCUUCAAGAUAAUGACAACAGUGGAGAAAAUGUUAAUAAUACAGAUUAAAUUAAAAAUGUAUGUUUGUAG